GACGAACGCUGGCGGCGUGCCUAAUACAUGCAAGUCGAACGAACUCUGGUUUUUGAUUGACGGUGCUUGCACCUGAUUGAUUAAACAUUUGAGUGAGUGGCGAACUGGUGAGUAACACGUAGGAAACCUGCCCAGAAGCGGGGGGAUAACACCUGGAAACAGAUGCUAAUACCGCAUAACAACUUGAACCGCAUGGUUCGAGUUUGAAAGAUGGCUCUGCUAUCACUCCUGGAUGGUCCUGCGGCGUAUUAGCUAGAUGGUGAGGUAAAGGCUCACCAUGGCAAUGAUACGUAGCCGACCUGAGAGGGUAAUCGGCCACAUUGGGACUGAGACACGGCCCAAACUCCUACGGGAGGCAGCAGUAGGGAAUCUUCCACAAUGGACGAAAGUCUGAUGGAGCAACGCCGCGUGAGUGAAGAAGGGUUUCGGCUCGUAAAACUCUGUUGUUAGAGAAGAGCAUAUCUGAGAGUAACUGUUCAGGUAUUGACGGUAUCUAACCAGAAAGCCACGGCUAACUACGUGCCAGCCGCCGCGGUAA
rnacentral:rRNA from 1 species